AAGUCGUAACAAGGUUUCCGUAGGUGAACCUGCGGAAGGAUCAUUAAAAAUUUAUAUUCCGGGAAUUCGUUUCGUUUUCCCGUGAUUAUUUGUAUUCAAAUCCCACUCUUUAUAAAUAUAUUAAUUAUAUAAAACAAAAAAUAAAAAGAAAACUUUCAACAACGGAUCUCUUGGCUCUC
rnacentral:misc_RNA from 1 species